ACGAAUGCCCUUACGCAGCUAAUAGUUAUUUUUAAUCUCUCUCCAACUACUACUCGUCUCUGUCUUCUCUCUCCGAUCCUGUAAUCCCUCUCACUCUCACUGCCUAUUUCUUCUUCUGUGCUACGGAUGCUCUUACGCAGCUAAUGGUUAUUUUUAAUCUCUCUUCAACUACUCCUCGUCUCUGUCUUCUCUCUCCGAUCCUCUAAUCCCUCUCACUCUCAUACCUAUCUCUUCUUCUGUCUUAUUCUCAUCCCUCUCUCGUCUUACUCACUCGUCCCUCUCUUCUCUCUCACGUGGUCUUUGCGUCGACACUGUGGUAAGUGUUAGUUUGUGAGUUUUGGUGUGGAUCGGCGUUGGAGUCCUUAUUUUCUCUCUCUCGUGGUCUUGCGGCGGCGCCAUAGUGUGGGCUGGUGGUUGUUCGUGGUGUGGAUCGGCGUCGGAGGGUUUGGUUUUCUCUUUCGUGGUACUCGUGGCGGUGCCAUGGUGUGGGUUAGGGGUGGUUAGGUUUCGAUCGGCGGUGAUGGGUUUGCUGUGGGAGUGGUUGGUGGUGGAUGGUCCUAAAGCCACAUAGAUCGAAACACUUUUUUUUUUCCAGGUCUGUGAAUUUGGAUGUUUUGAUUGAUUGGGGUGGUUGGUUAAGUGGAUGUUUUGAUUGAUUGGGUUUGGUUUUGGAUUAGAAUUUUAAGUUGAAAGGCUGAUUUUUUUUCAUAGUUAUUGAUUGCAUGUUCUGUGAUUUGGGUUUAAAUCUUCAAAUGAACUUUGAUUUAUUGUGUUUUCCUCAUCAUUGAGUUUUGCUGGUUGGUUCCAUUCAUUCAUUUUUUUCUUGUUUGUUUACUGAGAAAGUUCUUGGGUUUUGUUGCAAGAUUUUGGUUUUCUUGCUAUGGGUUUGACUAAGUUUUGUUAUGGGUUUUAGGUGGUGGUGGAUUUCCAGCGAGAUGGUUGUGGUUUCUGUUGUGGUUUUUUUUUUUUUUGGGGUUUUGUUGGAGUAUUUUGGUUUUAUUGCUAUGAGUUUGGUUGAGUUUUGGUAUGAGUUUCUUUUGGGUUUUUAGUUGGCUAUAGUGGUGGAUUUGAGGAGAGAGAGAGAAAGGAGGGAGUCUCGGAGAGGACCUUGUGAAGAGAGAAGUUUGAGAGAAGGAGAAAAAUUGUUUAAUGGAGUUAAAGGUGUGUAGGGACUUAGUUGAGUUUAGGGUCCAAUUUGGUCAAUUUUGAAUUAUCUUGGACUUGGUUGGUAUUAACUCAAGCCUUAGGAGUAGUGGGCAUGGGAGGUAUUGGCGAAACAACUUUGACCCAAAUUGCCUACAACCAUCCCAGUGUGCUGGAACAUUUUGGAAAAGUGAUUGGGUUUGUGUUUCUGAACCUUUUAAUCGGUGUAAGGUUGUCAUUGCAGUAAUUGAAGCUCUUGAUGAUUAUUGUCCUAAUGUUACUGAAUUUUCAAAUUUGAUGGCAAAGGUUUGCGAAUUGAUUUGGCAAAGUGGCAAGGUUUUUAUUGUCCUCGAUGAUGUCUAGACUGAGGACUUUAAUUUGUGCAAUUCAUUCAGAUUGCAUUCAAUAACUGUGUCCAGGGAGUAGAAUUCUUGUCACCACUUGGAAAAGUAGAGUAAAAAAAAGCAAUAUUACGAAAAAUUGACCAACAAUUUUCCUCAGACAACACCCCUAGAUUGAUCGUGGUCUCACUUUCCAUUAUUUCUGCAACUCUACUUUUGCAAGUGGUGGCUAGAAUUUUACUCCCUAGGGUACAAUCCUUGAAUGCAAUCCUGAAUGGAUCCCACAAAUUAAAGUCCUCAGUCCAGACAUCAUUGAGGACAAUAAAAACCUUGCCACUUUGCUGAAUCAAUUCAUAAACCUUUGCCAUCAAAUUUGAAAAUUCAGUAACAUUGGGACGAUAAUCAUCAAGAGCUUCAAUUAUUGCAAUGGCAACCUUAUACUGAUUAAAGGGUUUAGAAACACAAGCCCAAAUCACUUUUUCAAAAUGUUCCUGCACACUGGGAUGGUUGUAGGCAAUUUAGGCCAGAGUCGUUUUGCCAAUAUUUCCCAUGCCCACUAAGGAGAUGACAUGGAGGUUUCUUUCUAUGGCAUUUCAAGGAUGCCCAGAGUUAAAGUCGCUGCCGGACUUCUUUCCUACAAUUCCUUUGGAGAUCGGUGGCUCUGUGAACGUUGCCAAAGAGAGACUAGUGAGGACUGGUGCAAGAUUUCUCACUCCACUUCUGCACAUUGAUAAGUAUAUCAAAGUCUCAUAAAUUUGAAUUAGGGCUAUUUAAUAUUGUGUAUACGCAUAUGUAGCAUACCAUGUGGUUGCUUAGAUUCAGUUAUCUUGUGUUGUAUCCAAAAUUACUUGAUGGUUUCAAUAUAUAUCCACAUAUUUUAAAAAUAAAAGGUUGGAAUUUUAGAUAGGCUAAUCAAAUGAACAUGUCACCAAUUUUCACUCAUUUGCAUAUAAAGAGAACAACUUCAAUGCCUACCUUUUUCUAAGUCAUUUACGAUUUAAUAUUUAUAUGGUCUUGUUCAAUUUAUUAAUUUCUGUUAUGUAUGCUAAGUUCAAAUAACUCAUAUGGUUCGCAUUGGGCAUGUAGGUGCUAUGAUACAGAGUGGCCAAUAUUCAGCCUUGCAGAAAUAUGUUCUAGUCCAGGAAAGCAAAGCGAAGACAUAUAAUCAGCUUUGGAUCAAUGAUGCGUGGCGAAUGUUGCUGCUCUCCUCUAAGAACUAUUCUCAUACAUCUCCUACAAUGUUGUACCUUUGCCAUGUUUUUCAUGGAUUAGUCUGUCUUCAUUUACAUUCCAGCUUCUCCUUUAAUUAUGUUAUAAUGUUAUUAAGACACUGCUUUCUUUCACGAUUGUGGUCAGCAUUUUGCCAUUUCUUUAUUUAUUUAUUUUUAGAUUUCAAAUAGAUGAAAUGAUGCAGAAUCAUACUUGGCAUUUCAUAGAAUACUUGGUAUUUUAUAGAAUUCUAGUGAAGCAGCUAGUGUAGAAUAUAAGGAAAUGUAUUCUUCUUUUUCA